rnacentral:lncRNA from 1 species
CCGAAAUCGAUGUAGUGGAUCUCGAGGGCAGAGGUGAUCGAGCUCAAUGAGGAGGAAGUGAUUUAAGGGUGAGGAUGAUGGUGGUGACGUAAGGGAAUGGUGGACGAAGAAGGUUGAGAUCUUAUCCAAAAGGAGCUCUAAGCUAUUUGAGGCUCAUAGGUAGAGCUAGAAUUGGAUCAGGUUGGGUUGAGUUUCUAUACAAGUUAGGCCUAGCUCCAAAAAAAAAAUUUGGCUUCAAGCUAUGCUAAGGUCCAAAAAUUUUUGCAAAAUUUUAGCAUAAGCCCAAAUU